rnacentral:rRNA from 1 species
UACGAAGGGGGCUAGCGUUGCUCGGAAUCACUGGGCGUAAAGCGCACGUAGGCGGACUCUUAAGUCGGUGGUGAAAUCCUGGAGCUCAACUCCAGAACUGCCUCCGAUACUGAGAGUCUUCGAGUCCGGGAGAGGUGAGUGGAACUGCGAGUGUAGAGGUGAAAUUCGUAGAUAUUCGCAAGAACACCAGUGGCGAAGGCGGCUCACUGGCCCGGUACUGACGCUGAGGUGCGAAAGCGUGGGGAGCAAACAGG